rnacentral:lncRNA from 1 species
GACCAAGAUCGAGUUGCCAAGUCACGGGAAACUCCUACAAAAACCCUAAACAAUUAGAUCUGAAACGAAACAGAAAAUUAAAAGAUUAGAUUUUUGAAUUUUCAGAUCUGAAAUAAAAUCCUCAAAUCAGCAAAGAAUCAAAUUGAGAAUAGAAAUAAGUGUUAGGGUUCUUGAAACCCUCAAGGAGAUUGUGAUUCUGCCCAAUUGAACACCAAGAUAGUUUUCCCCAAAUUUCGACAAUCUAA